rnacentral:rRNA from 1 species
CGAGUUAGGGGUGACGUGGUAACCCUGCGUCGCCCCGAACCUCCCAACCCUUUGUCUACCUUACCAUAACGUUGCUUCGGCAGGCCCGCCGACCCCCUAGGCUUUACCGCCCGGGGUGACGCCGCCGGGGGUCUAACGACCCCGGGCCCGCGCCUGUCGAUGGCCCCUUUAUCAAAACUCUUGUUAAAACGUGUCGUCUGAGUUACAAACAAAAAUUAAAACCAAAACUUUCAACAACGGAUCUCUUGGUUCUGGCAUCGAUGAAGAACGCAGCGAAAUGCGAUAAGUAAUGCGAAUUGCAGAAUCCGUGAGUCAUCGAAUCUUUGAACGCACAUUGCGCCCUUUGGUAUUCCGAAGGGCAUGCCUGUUCGAGCGUCAUUAUCACCCCUCAAGCCCGGCUUGUUGUUGGCGUCAGCGCGGUCUUACCGGCUGCGCUCCGCCUAAAGAUAAUGACGGCGUCUGUGAGGACUCCUGUACAUUGAGCUUUCGGGCACGUACACGGUUAGAAGUCCAGGCGCCGGUCACCGUCCCUCGGGACACUUUUUACCAAGGUUGACCUCGGAUCAGGUAGGG